rnacentral:rRNA from 1 species
AACGAACGCUGGCGGCGUGGAUAAGACAUGCAAGUCGAACGGGACAACAUCUGUAGCAAUACAGGUGUUGUUUAGUGGCGAACGGGUGCGUAACACGUGGGCAAUCUGCCGAGAAGUGGGGGAUAGCUCGCCGAAAGGCGAAUUAAUACCGCAUAUGAUCAGGGAGGACAUUCUCUCGACAUCAAAGCCGGGGCAACCUGGCGCUUCUUGAUGAGCCCGCGGCCAUCAGCUAGUUGGUGAGGUAACGGCUCACCAAGGCUAUGACGGGUAGCUGGUCUGAGAGGACGACCAGUCACACUGGAACUGAGACACGGUCCAGACACCUACGGGUGGCAGCAGUCGAG